rnacentral:misc_RNA from 1 species
AUUUGAGGUUUGUCUUCUUGUCGACUCUUGAAUCUCCAACUUCGAGUCCUACUGCGUAAUUACUUGUCUCUGUUUCAGAAGAGUUCUCGAAGACGCUCUCCUUUCAGUUUUCACCAACAGCACCCAUAAGGUAAUGGCAGCAUCUUGUGUUACUCUUAAACCUCGGACCUUUACUUUAUCUCAUCAUGGGAAACAGAGAACUAGUACUCUACUGAGACGGAGAUCUUAUAUUGCAGUAGUGUCCAUGUCAACCAACAAAAUUGACAUUCCAAUCAUGUGGUAAAAUGGGGAAGGCUGUUA